GACGAACGCUGGCGGCGCGCCUAACACAUGCAAGUCGAACGGAGUCAAGAGGAGCUUGCUUUUCUUGACUUAGUGGCGAACGGGUGAGUAACGCGUGAGUAACCUGCCCUGGAGUGGGGGACAACAGUUGGAAACGACUGCUAAUACCGCAUAAGCCCACGGAUCUGCAUGGAUCUGCGGGAAAAGGAUUUAUUCGCUCUAGGAUGGACUCGCGUCCAAUUAGCUAGUUGGUGAGGUAACGGCCCACCAAGGCGACGAUUGGUAGCCGGACUGAGAGGUUGAACGGCCACAUUGGGACUGAGACACGGCCCAGACUCCUACGGGAGGCAGCAGUGGGGGAUAUUGCACAAUGGGGGAAACCCUGAUGCAGCGACGCCGCGUGGAGGAAGAAGGUUUUCGGAUCGUAAACUCCUGUCGUUAGGGACGAUAAUGACGGUACCUAACAAGAAAGCACCAGCUAACUACGUG
rnacentral:rRNA from 1 species